rnacentral:rRNA from 1 species
GAUCCUGGCUCAGGAUGAACGCUGACAGAAUGCUUAACACAUGCAAGUCUACUUGAUCCUUCGGGUGAUGGUGGCGGGCGGGUGAGUAACGCGUAAAGAACUUGCCCUGCAGUCUGGGACAACACUUGGAACGAAUGCUAAUACCGGAUAUUAUGUGAGUUUCGCAUGAAAUUCAUAUGAAAGCUAUAUGCGCUGCAGGAGAGCUUUGCGUCCUAUUAG